rnacentral:misc_RNA from 1 species
ACCGGAGAAAGGGGCGAAGCGACCCGCUUCAGAUCUUGUUCAUUUCGCAUUUAUUAAUCGAGAAAAUGGCGCUAAAGCUAUUUAUGCUGCUCCCGUUAAAGCUCUUGUAGUGGCUCCUGCCAAAGAAAGAGUUUCAGCCCCUGGCUUUGGUGUGAGAUGGCUCUUUGAGACCUUUCCCCAUUAGGGCUUAGAGUGAACCGAUGCGAAUGGUUUUCUCAGGCUUUUAGGGAAGCAAUGCAUAACUCCCUUUUCCAGAGAGGUGGGCCGGGCGAACUGCUUUACCCCUAAUUAAGAAAAGGGGAUUGGAGGUGGGGAAGAGCAGACAUUGGUUGGUGUGGCGAAGGCCAUUGAAAUCGUGCCAGUUUGACUCUCUACUAGCUGUCAAAGAAAGCAAUGAUGCUGCGCACCUUUCAUCUUCCUCCCGCUCGUGCCUCCCCGGUCCCGUAUGGGAAGUCCCUUCGCUCGCCUAAGGGUUAGUUAGGAGUUCUGGCUUAUAAGGCUAGAAGGGUUUAAGUCAGUGUGUCGUUUUGUA